UACGGAGGGUGCAAGCGUUAUCCGGAUUUACUGGGUUUAAAGGGUGCGCAGGCGGAUAUGUAAGUCAGUGGUGAAAUCUCUGGGCUUAACCCGGAAAUUGCCAUUGAUACUAUAUAUCUUGAAUGUUGUGGAGGUAAGCGGAAUAUGUCAUGUAGCGGUGAAAUGCUUAGAUAUGACAUAGAACACCUAUUGCGAAGGCAGCUUACUACGCAGAUAUUGACGCUCA
rnacentral:rRNA from 1 species